rnacentral:ncRNA from 1 species
UCUCGAUAAAGGCAAACCAUGUGAAAAUGUGGGACGCAAAACUAUAGGGGCUAAGGACAUUCGUUGUCUAAGCUUGCCAGUUACCGAA